CCUACGGGAGGCAGCAGUGGGGAAUAUUGCACAAUGGAGGGAACUCUGAUGCAGCGACGCCGCGUGAGUGAAGAAGUAAUUCGGUAUGUAAAGCUCUAUUAGCAGGGAAGAAAGUGACGGUACCUGAAAAAGAAGCUCCGGCUAAAUACGUGCCAGCAGCCGCGGUACUACGUCUGGAGCAAGCGUUAUCCGGAUUUUCUGGGUGUAAAGGGGGAGUAGGUGGCAAAGGAGGUCCGAAGUGAAAACCCAAAGCACAACUAUGGGAACGCUUUAGAAACUGCUCAGCGUGAGUGGGGGAGAGGCAAGUGGAAUGCGUAGUGUAGCGGUGAAAUGCGUAGAUAUCAGGAAGAACACCAGUGGCGAAGGCGGCUUGCUGGACUGUAACUGACACUGAGGCUCGAAAGCGUGGGGAGCAAACAGGAUUAGAUACCCUAGUAGUC
rnacentral:rRNA from 1 species